AAGUCUACUUGGGCAUUGGGUUGCUUUCAACCGUCUGCUACCUUUCCUCUUCCCUAGCUAUUCUUUGUUGCUUAUACCGCUUCACAUUCCAACAUCGAUUUCUCAACAAUUAAUUAUUUCCAUUGUUCAAUACAACUUCACGCCGCUUUCGGUUAAUCUUCAAUUUCAUCAUCAAUUUCUCUUCUUCCAAUCCAGUUCUUCUCAUAUUCAAUGUCAUCUUCUCCAUUCAUAUCUACACUUUUCCAUUCCCCUUCCCACAUUUUCUCUCUCUCUCUCUGAGUCCCAAUUUCUCUUUUCUGUCUCUUUUCAACACAAAACCUAACACCACAGUCAUUACUAUUUAAAGUUUUAUUAGGUUCUGAAUGAUGAAUUUUGAGUUUUUCAGAUUCCAGGAGGAGUUACUGUUGCGGAGGGGUUCAAAGCUGCGGGAAUACAUGGAGGAUUAUGCGUUGCAUGAACGUGCUGUGUUAACUAAUGCAGGUCAAGCUAAUGCCGCUACGGGCGAAUCAGGUUACCGUGAAACGAUACGAUAAAGUGUGUAGAAAGCCUUGCAAAGGUUUUUGGAGGAAAGAAUUCAUUAUAGAUGAAGUUCGCAUCUUUGCUUGAUACCACUGUAAUCAGAUAUAACAGCACCAACAAAAGCUCUGGAACAUGACUAUCGAUUGUCAAAAAACUUCAUCACAAAUUAGUGUCAACUUCCUGGUGUUUCUAAAGCGUGUGCGGUGGCCGUUGUCUCCGUGGAUCUUCGUCAGGCGAUGGUUAUGAAUCAUAAUAUUAUUGUUCAUGGUUGCUUGCAGUGGAUCAUAGAGAACAACGACGACAUCAUACUUUGUUUCCUUUUGAAUGAAUCUGAAUGUUUUUUAAAACUGUGAACUGUUGGUGUUGUUAUGUUUUGUUCUCCGACAUUUUGAUGUUGGGUGUACUCUUAAUGGUGGUAAGAGAAUUGGCUGCUGGAGGAUAGCUUAUUGUAAGGUUGGAUAUGUGAGUGAUUUGGGUGAAGGGUAUUAUUUUACUGACAAAACAAGUUGAUUGAUGUUAGGGUGUUUGGCUUAGGUGUUUUGUGAAAUUAACAUGAUAACUGUAUUACAAAAAAUUUGUAGAUUAAUUUUUUCGGUUC